rnacentral:rRNA from 1 species
CACGGGGGUUGCGAGCGUUGUCCGGAAUUACUGGGCGUAAAGCGUGCGCAGGCGGUUAUAUAAGACAGAUGUGAAAUCCCCGGGCUCAACCUGGGAACGGCCAUUGUGACUGCAAGGCUGGAGUACGGCAGAGGGGGAUGGAAUUCCGCGUGUAGCAGUGAAAUGCGUAGAUAUGCGGAGGAACACCGAUGGCGAAGGCAAUCCCCUGGGCCUGCACUGACGCUCAUGCACGAAAGCGUGGGGAGCAAACAGG